UGGUUCCCUUUGAGGAGUGCAUUGAGUUACAUUCUACUGAAAAGUCAGUUGUGAUGGCUCCAGAGUACCUCCUCCUUACUCAUAAUGGGCGUAGCUUCAAUGUAGUGAUCGAUCCUACCAAGUUAAGUGAUGGUUUACAUUAUUAUGAAGUCUAUGGAGUUGAUUGCAAAGCACCAUGGCGUGGUCCCAUUUUCAGGAUUCCAGUUACCAUAACAAAACCAAUGACUGUAAACAAUCGGCCUCCAAUUGUUUCAUUUGCAAGGAUGUCAUUUCUGCCAGGCCAUAUAGAAAGGAGAUUUGUUGAAGUGCCGCUCGGUGCUAGUUGGGUUGAGGCAACCAUGCGAACAUCACGAUUUGAUA
rnacentral:misc_RNA from 1 species